AUUGAACGCUGGCGGCAUGCCUUACACAUGCAAGUCGAACGGCAGCGCGGGAGCAAUCCUGGUGGCGAGUGGCGAACGGGUGAGUAAAGUAUCGGAACGUGCCCAGUCGUGGGGGAUAACGUAGCGAAAGUUACGCUAAUACCGCAUACGAUCUAUGGAUGAAAGCGGGGGAUCGCAAGACCUCGCGCGAUUGGAGCGGCCGAUAUCAGAUUAGGUAGUUGGUGGGGUAAAGGCUCACCAAGCCGACGAUCUGUAGCUGGUCUGAGAGGACGACCAGCCACACUGGGACUGAGACACGGCCCAGACUCCUACGGGAGGCAGCAGUGGGGAAUUUUGGACAAUGGGCGAAAGCCUGAUCCAGCCAUGCCGCGUGCAGGAUGAAGGCCUUCGGGUUGUAAACUGCUUUUGUACGGAACGAAAAGGUUUGGGCUAAUAAGCUGAGCUCAUGACGGUACCGUAAGAAUAAGCACCGGCUAACUACGUGCCAGCCGCCGCGGUAA
rnacentral:rRNA from 1 species